UGCCCAUAAUCUAGCCUAAACUUACCUAUCUCAUUUUUUCCCCUCCCCCUAACAAAAUAAAACAUUUUAAAUCUCAAGUACAUGCGAUCGAAAAAGAAUUUGGAGCAACAUAAAUAGUACCGCAAGGGAAAGAUGAAAUAGAAAUUAAAAAAAAAUUCAAGCUCUAAACAGCAAAGAUCUCAGCUUGUACCUUUUGCAUCAUGGUCUAACUAGUUUAACCAGGCAAAAUGAUUUUUAGUCCGCCCUCCCGAAACUAAGUGAGCUACUCCGAGGUAACUCUAGAGUAAACCCGUCUCUGUGGCAAAAGAGUGGGACAACCUCCGAGUAGAGGUGACAUACCUAUCGAACUUAGUGAUAGCUGGUUACUCAAGAAAGGAAUUUUAGUUCAAUCUUAAGAGACUCAAGCCAAUUCUGUAAGAAUAAAGCAAACCUAACCCCUUAAGACCUAUUCAAUAAGGGUACAGCCUUAUUGAAAAAGGAUACAACCUAAAAUUCAGGUUAACGAUUUUUAUAAUAGAACAAGUUGGCCUAAGAGCAGCCACCUUUAAAACAGCGUCAAAGCUUACUCCACCUCCUUAUUUUAAUACCAUCCCCCGCACCGAACCCGAUUUUAAUAUUGAGUCAUUCUAUAUCCCUAUAGAAGAGUUAAUGUUAGAACUAGUAACGUAGAAUUGUUUCUCUCCAUGUAAGUGUAAAUCAGGUCGAAUAAAUCACUGAUAAUUAUCCGGAGAUGAGAUAAAUGUAGUAACUUCACUAGAAAACCCUACCCAUUUCCCCCGUUAAUCUAACACAAGAACAUAAGAGAAAGAUUAAAAGACUUAGAAGGAACUCGGCAAAUCAAAGUCCCGCCUGUUUACCAAAAACAUCGCCUUUUGAACAAUAUAAGAGGUAAUGCCUGCCCAGUGACCAUGUGUUCAACGGCCGCGGUAUUCUGACCGCGCGAAGGUAGCGUAAUCACUUGUUUUUUAAAUAAAGACUAGUAUGAACGGCCACACGAGGACUUAACUGUCUCCUUUGUCCAAUCAGUGAAACUGAUCUCCUCGUGCAGAAGCGAGGAUUUUCUCAUAAGACGAGAAGACCCUAUGGAGCUUUAAACUUUAUAUCAACUAUCUUCUUCACCCCCUCUAAGGAACUAACACCUAAUUAAAUUUCUUGAUAAAAGUUUUGGGUUGGGGCGACCAUGGAGAAAAAGAAAUCCUCCCUGAUGAUAACCUAACCAAGAGCCACAGCUCUAAGUAUUAAGACACUUAACUCCUAUUGACCCAUUUUAUGAUCAACGAACCAAGUUACCCUAGGGAUAACAGCGCAAUCCAUUUCAAGAGUCCAUAUCGACAAAUGGGUUUACGACCUCGAUGUUGGAUCAGGGCAUCCAAGUGGUGCAACCGCUACUAAAGGUUCGUUUGUUCAACGAUUAAAGCCCUACGUGAUCUGAGUUCAGACCGGAGCAAUCCAGGUCGGUUUCUAUCUAUGACUGAACUUUUUCUAGUACGAAAGGACCGAAAAAGUAGAGCCCAUGAACCCCUAAGCUCUAGCUAAAAACUAUUGAAGUAAUCUAAAAUAACUAUUAGCCUAACAAUCUACCCUAGAUUUGGGC
rnacentral:rRNA from 1 species